AGCAUUGCAUUGGUAUACCUGUUUAUCCAUUUACCUGUUAGAGAAUAUUAUGGUUGCUUCCUAUUUAGGGGGAAGUUAUGAAUAAAGUCGCUAUGAACAUUCAAGUGCAGGUUUUUAUGUGAACAAGUUUUCAGUUCAUUUGGGCAAAUAUCAAGGAGCAUGGUUGCUGGAUCACGUACUGAGAUAUAUUUGGCUUUGUAAGAAACUGUCAGACUCUCUUCCAAAAUGACUGUAUCAUUUUUCCAUCCCACCAUCAGUGAAUGAGAAUUGCUCUUACACCUUCUUGCCAGCAUUUGGUAUUGUCAAUGUUUUGGAUUUUCAAUAUUGUUGUAGUUUGAUUCUGAAAUGUACUCCAGUGCCAUCUGCAUCCAGCACAGCCGGCUAACUCAAGGUCACUCAGGGGAAAUUCCCAAGGCAUUAGAAAUAAAACACAGACACACAAUUUACCUUUAAACCAAGCUCCAGAAUGGGAGAGGCAGGAACUACAGGAGAGGCUGGCAAGAGAGCAAGCACUCUUUUAUUAGGGAAAUCUAAAUUCUUAGGAAAUCCUAUCCAAUGAAAGUGAAGGGGGCAGGGUUACAAGGACAGGUGAGGUGAUUGGAUCCCUGGAUAUGUGGAGAGACACGCCCCUGCACGAAGACAGUCUCUGGAACCCUAGAAGAUCCAGGCUAACCAGCAGCGUGACAGCCACCGGAUGCCACACCGCUCAGCAGGGGAGUCAGACCUAGUCAGUGCUAGAUUGGUCUCCCACACCCCAGAAGUUUGCGUGUUGAAGGCUUGGUCCCAGCUGGUGGCGCAGCUGGGAGGUGGUGGAGACUUGGGGAGAUGGAGCCUAGAUGGAGGAGGUGGGUCACUGGGGCAUAUCCUUGACCAGUAUAUCUUGUCCCACUCCCCCCCCGCCCCCUUCCUGGCUGCUAAGAAGUAAGUGGCUUUACUUUGCCACAUCUUCCCCACCAGCCAUGAUAUUCUACUUUAUCACAGGCCCAGAAACAAUGGAGUUGCUCAAAGAAGCUCUGAGCUAGGUGCACUUUGAGCAGAAAAAAUAACACCUGCAUAGGAUGGAAUAAAUCUCAAUGAAUGGAAACAGCCUCAGAAAUCAUCCUCGUCGUCUUCUUUUUUUUUAGCCAGAGAGAGAGAAUUUUUUAAUAUUUAUUUUUUAGUUUUUGGUGGAUACAACAUCUUUAUUUAUUUAUUUAUUUUUUAAUUUUAUGUGAUGCUGGGGAUGGAACCCAGCGACCCACCCAUGCUAGGCAAGCGCACUACGGCUUGAGCCACAUCCCCAGCCCCAGAAAUCAUAUUCUUUAACA
rnacentral:lncRNA from 1 species